ACCUGUCACGGUUCAUGAAUCCACUGCCUCUCUUUCUCUUUCUCUCUCUCUCUCUCUCUCUCUCUCUCUCUCUCUCUCUCUCUCUCUCUCUCUCUCUCUCUCUCUCUCUCUCUCUCUCUCUCUCUCUCUCUCUCUCUCUCUCUCCUCCCCGUGUUUGUGUGGGCGUGGUUCCCAAUCUCGGCCUGAUUGUCUGCGCCAGCUGGAACCACUUAUCUUCCCUUUAUAUGUUCUGUAACCAGUGUUUCUUGUUGUCAGAUCGUUGUUACUUCCCUGAGGUUGUGUCGUGUGUCUGUGCUCUUCUCUCGCCGCCCUUGUGUGGAUUAUCUGCUGUGCUCCUUCCUACCCAUCCGGACACACUCCCCUGGAUUUCUCAGCACGCUAUCAUUGGAAGAUGCGCCCUAGUCCCUGGGUCGGAUUCCGUCUGAGUACAGUCUGUCUGUCCUGUUGCUGUUGUAAACUGUAUUCAUUAAACCAUCGUUGCUUGCA